AGAACCUCGAGGAUAUAUUCCAGAAAGAGGAAGACAUGGGUACAAGAAAGUCUGACUUUUUAUUUGCCAAGGACAAAUUCUAGCUGCUGUUGGAGGCAGGAGAGUUCACCGUGUGCCUCAUUCUCCGAGAAGUAAAUACAAAGAAAUGAUGACUCUUCUUAUGAGGUACAAGGUCUUUCAUCCUUUGGAAGCUCCAACGCAUCAGGAGCCCUCAGUGGAUCAGGCCAGGCCUCUGCUCAAAAUCCUGCGAUGGUUUCCUGGCUGUAGACAGUAAGAAAAUACUGCUUUUGUUUUAAUUUUAGUGACAAAAUGCCGUUAAGGAAAGAAUAUUGUUUC
rnacentral:lncRNA from 1 species